rnacentral:rRNA from 1 species
AGCGUACACGGUGGAUGCCCUGGCAGUCAGAGGCGAUGAAGGACGUGCUAAUCUGCGAUAAGCGUCGGUGAGGUGAUAUGAACCGUUAUAACCGGCGAUUUCCGAAUGGGGAAACCCAGUGUGUUUCGACACACUAUCAUUAACUGAAUCCAUAGGUUAAUGAGGCGAACCGGGGGAACUGAAACAUCUAAGUACCCCGAGGAAAAGAAAUCAACCGAGAUUCCCCCAGUAGCGGCGAGCGAACGGGGAGGAGCCCAGAGCCUGAAUCAGUGUGUGUGUUAGUGGAAGCGUCUGGAAAGGCGCGCGAUACAGGGUGACAGCCCCGUACACAAAAAUGCACAUAUUGUGAGCUCGAUGAGUAGGGCGGGACACGUGGUAUCCUGUCUGAAUAUGGGGGGACCAUCCUCCAAGGCUAAAUACUCCUGACUGACCGAUAGUGAACCAGUACCGUGAGGGAAAGGCGAAAAGAACCCCGGCGAGGGGAGUGAAAAAGAACCUGAAACCGUGUACGUACAAGCAGUGGGAGCCUCUUAAUGGGGUGACUGCGUACCUUUUGUAUAAUGGGUCAGCGACUUAUAUUCUGUAGCAAGGUUAACCGAAUAGGGGAGCCGAAGGGAAACCGAGUCUUAACUGGGCGUUAAGUUGCAGGGUAUAGACCCGAAACCCGGUGAUCUAGCCAUGGGCAGGUUGAAGGUUGGGUAACACUAACUGGAGGACCGAACCGACUAAUGUUGAAAAAUUAGCGGAUGACUUGUGGCUGGGGGUGAAAGGCCAAUCAAACCGGGAGAUAGCUGGUUCUCCCCGAAAGCUAUUUAGGUAGCGCCUCGUGAAUUCAUCUCCGGGGGUAGAGCACUGUUUCGGCAAGGGGGUCAUCCCGACUUACCAACCCGAUGCAAACUGCGAAUACCGGAGAAUGUUAUCACGGGAGACACACGGCGGGUGCUAACGUCCGUCGUGAAGAGGGAAACAACCCAGACCGCCAGCUAAGGUCCCAAAGUCAUGGUUAAGUGGGAAACGAUGUGGGAAGGCCCAGACAGCCAGGAUGUUGGCUUAGAAGCAGCCAUCAUUUAAAGAAAGCGUAAUAGCUCACUGGUCGAGUCGGCCUGCGCGGAAGAUGUAACGGGGCUAAACCAUGCACCGAAGCUGCGGCAGCGACACUAUGUGUUGUUGGGUAGGGGAGCGUUCUGUAAGCCUGUGAAGGUGGCCUGUGAGGGUUGCUGGAGGUAUCAGAAGUGCGAAUGCUGACAUAAGUAACGAUAAAGCGGGUGAAAAGCCCGCUCGCCGGAAGACCAAGGGUUCCUGUCCAACGUUAAUCGGGGCAGGGUGAGUCGACCCCUAAGGCGAGGCCGAAAGGCGUAGUCGAUGGGAAACAGGUUAAUAUUCCUGUACUUGGUGUUACUGCGAAGGGGGGACGGAGAAGGCUAUGUUGGCCGGGCGACGGUUGUCCCGGUUUAAGCGUGUAGGCUGGUUUUCCAGGCAAAUCCGGAAAACCAAGGCUGAGGCGUGAUGACGAGGCACUACGGUGCUGAAGCGACAAAUGCCCUGCUUCCAGGAAAAGCCUCUAAGCAUCAGGUAACAUCAAAUCGUACCCCAAACCGACACAGGUGGUCAGGUAGAGAAUACCAAGGCGCUUGAGAGAACUCGGGUGAAGGAACUAGGCAAAAUGGUGCCGUAACUUCGGGAGAAGGCACGCUGAUAUGUAGGUGAAGCGACUUGCUCGUGGAGCUGAAAUCAGUCGAAGAUACCAGCUGGCUGCAACUGUUUAUUAAAAACACAGCACUGUGCAAACACGAAAGUGGACGUAUACGGUGUGACGCCUGCCCGGUGCCGGAAGGUUAAUUGAUGGGGUUAGCGGUAACGCGAAGCUCUUGAUCGAAGCCCCGGUAAACGGCGGCCGUAACUAUAACGGUCCUAAGGUAGCGAAAUUCCUUGUCGGGUAAGUUCCGACCUGCACGAAUGGCGUAAUGAUGGCCAGGCUGUCUCCACCCGAGACUCAGUGAAAUUGAACUCGCUGUGAAGAUGCAGUGUACCCGCGGCAAGACGGAAAGACCCCGUGAACCUUUACUAUAGCUUGACACUGAACAUUGAGCCUUGAUGUGUAGGAUAGGUGGGAGGCUUUGAAGUGUGGACGCCAGUCUGCAUGGAGCCGACCUUGAAAUACCACCCUUUAAUGUUUGAUGUUCUAACGUGGGCCCGUAAUCCGGGUUGCGGACAGUGUCUGGUGGGUAGUUUGACUGGGGCGGUCGCCUCCUAAAGAGUAACGGAGGAGCACGAAGGUUGGCUAAUCCUGGUCGGACAUCAGGAGGUUAGUGCAAUGGCAUAAGCCAGCUUGACUGCGAGCGUGACGGCGCGAGCAGGUGCGAAAGCAGGUCAUAGUGAUCCGGUGGUUCUGAAUGGAAGGGCCAUCGCUCAACGGAUAAAAGGUACUCCGGGGAUAACAGGCUGAUACCGCCCAAGAGUUCAUAUCGACGGCGGUGUUUGGCACCUCGAUGUCGGCUCAUCACAUCCUGGGGCUGAAGUAGGUCCCAAGGGUAUGGCUGUUCGCCAUUUAAAGUGGUACGCGAGCUGGGUUUAGAACGUCGUGAGACAGUUCGGUCCCUAUCUGCCGUGGGCGCUGGAGAACUGAGGGGGGCUGCUCCUAGUACGAGAGGACCGGAGUGGACGCAUCACUGGUGUUCGGGUUGUCAUGCCAAUGGCACUGCCCGGUAGCUAAAUGCGGAAGAGAUAAGUGCUGAAAGCAUCUAAGCACGAAACUUGCCCCGAGAUGAGUUCU